rnacentral:lncRNA from 1 species
CUGAAACUAAUUACUACUACGCGUCAUUUGUUUUUGAGGUAAUGAAUUACUCAUACUUAUUCUAAUGAAAUCAACUAGAGAAGAAGGAAUUCCUAUUACUAUAACAAUAAAAGAUACCAAAUACAGCCAAAUAAAAUAAUUUGCGACACAAUUUGCAAUGAAGGAACCAAUUUAAAAGUGAAUACGAGAUUAACAUAAUCAAAUAAAACUCAAUUUACAAACAAACAUGUGGAUAAACACCAGCUAGCAUGACAAAGGAUUUAACUUUAAGGGAACAUAAUCUCUAUCUUCUAAAAAAAAAGACCUAAGCUUAAGAUAAGUGAAAAAGGCUUUUCACACAGCACAAGCAAAUCAAGAAUAAGAAUAGCUGGCAAAAGACAAAAAUCCAAACUGAAACAAGAAUGUAAAAGACAUUGAAACAAUAGAUGAAAUAAAGGAAUGGACCUUCUUUCUUUAAUAAAAAUGAUUCGUUGGCAGACUUUUACAACGUCAAUUAUUUGAUGCGCACAAUGACCGUAACCGACGCUGGAUACAUCAACAAACCUUGUCGUCAACUCGACUUCAAACUGGAAUCAACCUCGGCAAACUCGAAUUGGAAGUUUCUCCCACUUCUGCUGUAUUUCUCGACCAGUCACGAUAGCAGCAGAUAUGAGAGGGUGGUCGUUUGGACGUGAGGAAGGUGAUGACGUAAAGAGGGUAGUCGUUUGAACGUGAGGAAGGUGAUGACGUAAAAGGGGGUAGUCGUUUGGACGUGAGGAAGGUGAUGGCGCAGCAACGAUGGCUGUUUUGGUGGAGCUGGAGCUCGCUGGCUGGAGGAUAGGGUGAAAAGUUCGUUGUUUUCUGGUUUGAGAAGAAAGAAAGAAGGAGAUACUUUGGGGAGGGGGUGUUCUGCCCGUGUAUAUCCGCGAUAUAUCGGUUGUAUAUCGAAGGUAUACCUUGUCCGCGUUUUUGGGAGGGGGGGUGUUCUUUUGCCAGAAAAUGGGUAGUGGUUGAGUGGUUUGAAGAAGAUUAAGAGAGGAGAGGGGGCUGGUGUCUAAGGUCU